rnacentral:tRNA from 2 species
GCGGACGUGGCGGAAUUGGUAGACGCAAGGGACUUAAAAUCCCUCGGGCCCUGCCCGUGCGGGUUCGAUCCCCGCCGUCCGCACCA